UUGAGGAUUAAAUUUUUCAAGGCGCUUUUCCAAAGAGUUUGUGGGGGUGGAGUGGGAAGCUGUGAGACCUCCGCGGGAGGAGACGUUCCUGAACGCUAUUGAAAUUGGACGCUUGCCUUAGGAGGUGGAUAGGUGACUUGAAGGAGUCCUUUGCAGUUUGGGGUAGCAACAACAAAUCAGGAGCUCCUCCAUUCCCCUCCAGCAUGAAACCUUGGGUGAAGUUAAUCUUCAUUUAUCAUUUCUGUCUCUCCUAAUCGAUCUCUCGCCCAGUGUCUCUCCUUGUUCCUCUCCCUCCCUUUCUCUCUCUGGUCCUCUCCCCUUUUUCCCCUGUCCACCUCUUCCCCCAUGUCUAUACAUCUUCCUUUUAUACAUAUCUAUACAUCCUCCUUUUAGAAUGGAAAGACCAAUUUCGUUCCCUCUUGUACUAAAUAAAUAAAUAAUUGGAUCUCUACAAAGAAAAAGAGACCAAAGACAAGAACAAUGGAGGGUCCCAGGGUGACAAAGGCCCAGCCCUGUCAUUAUCUUAUGAGCUCUUCCCCCACAGUGCUCAGGCUGUGGCUACACUCAACCUUGUUUACAGGAAACCGCGCCAUAAUCGUCACUUGCUGUUUCCUUUCUCCUGUAUCACCUCCUUCUAGUGUCUGCGUUGACACUCACGAACAGGAUCUCUGAUUUCGUUGAAAAAUUGAAGGAAACAAAACGAAUCCUGCAGGUUUACAUCCGUUCCUUAAAUACUUGCAGAGACCUUGACUCUGAAAUUAGAGCUGGGUUCGGCAUCAAAUGCAAUUCUUGAGGUCCCAGGUCUGCAGUUCUGGUUAGUGCAAUGUUACAGCGGAGCCUGGACUGACUAGUUUGUGUAGCACUUUUUACUCAGCUUUAUCAUCUGGAGAGUGGAGAGGGGAAGAUAAGAAAGAAUGUCUUUUUGGAAAGGAUUUAAAAAAUAUGUUUUAUUCUUGGUUCUCUUCUUUUUUCCCUCUCAUUACAGUUGGAGAAACUUGUUCAGUGCCGAAUGGCUAGGGGGCGCCAAAGCGCCAGACGUCCAGCCCGGCCUCAGGGACCACCGGACAAAUGCAAGGACUAAGUCACACUGCAACUUUCAAAGACUAUUCCAAUAACAAUGUUUUAUAUAGAUUGCCAUCACCUUUAUCAUGACAUCUUGCAACAGCAGAGUAAAUUUGAGGCAGUGACACGGGGAGAAUUGUGUUUUGUUAUUUAGCCAGUUUUAUUUGAUAACUGCAAGCUCCCUGCCCCUUCCGGAACAUAAUUGUUACAGGAAGGAUUUGGACUGGAUAAAACUUAAUUUUGUGACAUGCUCGUUAAUUCUGUUAAACUUCCAAUUCAUCUGGUGUUUGUGGUUUUUAAUAUAAACUAGUGUUUAGUGAGAAAGAUAUUUUACCCCCUGUGAAGGUGCUUGGCAUACAAUUGCUAAUCAUUGCAAAAGUAGCAAAUAACCAUCCGAAUAGAGGUCAGGAGGCUGCAUAGAUCUCUUUUCACUAACAGAGUCCUGCUGACCUGAUUAUAAUUAGUGUUUCCUGGGGUCAGCCUCGUUAUUUUCACCAGGUGACCUAAACCACUCAUUUCUUUGAGCCCACUCCUGAUGCUAAAGGACACCUUGUCGCUGCGUGAUACUGGCUCCCUUGCUUUUCUUCUGCUCAGGCCCUGGCUGGACAAGCGACCCGAGGGUCUCUCUCCUUCUGACAGCAGUAGUGUUUCUCAGUGUCCUCUGGGAUGUGGCUGUCAGGCUUACUGACUACCAAUAGUCUUAGAACAGAAAGAGCCAAACUUCUAAAGGCAAGCAAUGUUGGGGACCCAGUUGCUAGGAGUCAGUGGCUCUCAGCCUAUAAACUUCAGUUUUUCUUCCCCUUAGGGGAAGCAUUGGUGGGGACAGGAAACCUAAUUUUCUCUCCAUCAGAUCGCCUGCUGGGUGAGCCUCCUGGAAUUACAUAUACUAGGCUUGGGGAUGCAAUGGGGACCAUCAACUGCUAACAUCACGGUGGCUAACAAAACUGCACAUGACUUUUACUCACAAAUAACAUCAUUAAGAGUUCAUCUGUCCACUUAGUCCAUAAAUGAUUACUAAGCACCUCCAUGUGCCAGCUGCAGGGUUUCACAGACUGGCUGGAGUGACUCACCAGAGACCAGACAGUGGUAGGCAGUGUGACAGCAAAGAAAACAGAGGGGUUCACCGGGUGCAUUUAUAACCCUGCUGGAGGGAUGGCAAACCUGUCCGUGUGGUCAGAAAAAACUUCUAAGAGGUGGUGGCAUUUGAAUUGAGUCUUAAACAAUGUGGGAGAGUCCAGCUGAGAGAUGCAGGCAAGAAGAAAGUGUGGGCUUUCACGGAGAGUUUUUCUGUGUGCCUGGAGGGGUGAGGGGGAGGGCUCAGAGGGAUGGUAUUGGCAUUGUGCAUGUGACCUGUGGAAGGCAUAAUUCUGAGAUUUGGAAGAGAAGAGAAGGUCGAAACUUCAGAACAGUGAGAGAGACUGGGGACUUCAAUCACAGUAGACUAGAGUUUAUUCUAGCAGUUCUCCUCUCAAUAGCUUUCUGACAUUGGACAAGUUCUGCAACUCAAUUCUAGGACCAGGGAAAGAAGAGUUUGGAGACACACAGGCACAAGAAGAAACAAGGCCAUGUGCAGAUGGAGGCAGAAGUUGGGAUGAUACAGCUACAAGCCAAGGCAUGCCAAGGACUUCCAACAAUCACCCAAAGCCAGGAAGAGUCGAGGAUGGAUUCUUCCCUAGAACCUUUAAAAGCAGCACAGUCCUGCCAACACCUGCAUUUCAGACCUAUAUCCUCCAGAACUGUGAGAGAGUAAAUUUCUGUUCUUUUAAGUCACCCAGUUUGGGGUAAUUUGUUAUGACAGCCCUAAGAAAUUAGUGCAUGUAGUAAUUAUCACCACAAUCAAGAUAUAAAAUAGUUCCAUCACCCCCAAAACCUCUCUUAUGUUGACCCAUUUCAAUCACAUCCUACCUCUCCCCUAAGUCUCAUUAACAAGUGAUCUGUUCUGUCUCACCAUAGUUUCAUGAUGGUCUUAAAACGUCAUGAAAAUGGAAUCAUACCAUCAUGAAAAUAGAAUCAUACAGUACCUUCGAGACUGCCUUUUAUUUUGAUUCAGCAUAAUGCCUUUGAGAGUCAUUACAUUGACACAUAUAUCAGUGAUUAAUUCCUUUUUAUGACUGACUAGUGUUCUGUUUCAUAAAAAUAUCAUAGUUUGUUUAUCCAUUCACCUACUGAAGAACAUUUGGGUUAUUUUCAGUGUUCAGUAAUUAUGGAAAAGCUACUAUAAACAUUUGUGUGCAGGUUUUUUUGUGUGUGCAAACAUAAGGUUCCACUUUCCAAGGUAAAUAUCUAGGAAUGCAAUUGCUGGGUUGUAUGGUGAGUGUAUGUUUAGCUUUAUAAGAAACCACCAAAUCAUUUCUCAGAAUAUGUACCAUUUGCAUUCACAGGAAUAUAUGGGAGUUUUAGUUGCUCUGUAUUUUCCUCAGCACUUAGUAUUGUCAAAUUUUUUGUUUGUUUUUUAGCCAUUCUGAUAAGUAUGUAGAGGCAUCUCACUGCAGUUUCAGUUUUCAUUACUGUAAUGGUAAUGAAUUUUAACAACUUUUCAUGUGCUUAUUUGCCAUUUGUAUAUUCUCUUUGGUGAAGUGUCUGUUCAUAUCUUUUAACUGAUUUUAAUUGAACAUUUUCCCCUUUACUCUUUUGAGUGUUAGUUAUAUAUUCUGCAUACAAAUGCUUUGUCACAUAUGUGAUUUGCAAAUACUUUCAGUCUGUAGCUUGUCUUUUCAGGCUCUUAACAGUGUCUUUUAAGAAGUAAAACUUUUGAAUUUGAUUUAAUUUAACAUUAUUUUCUUUUGUGGAUCAUGCUUUUGGUGUUAUCUCUAAGUUCAGAUCAUAGAAUUUGCCUCCUACAUUUUCUUCUAAUAGUUUUAUAAUUUUACAUUUUAUGUUUAGACCUAGGAGUCUUUUGAGUUAACUUCUAUAAGGUAUAAAGUUUUUGUCAGGGUUGUUUUUUGCGUAUAGAUGUCUAUUUGUUCCAAUAUAAUUUAUUGAAAGACUAUCAUUCCCCAUUCAAUUUCUUUUGAGCCUUUCAUCAAUAAUAAAAUUGUCAUAUUUGUGUGAGUUUAUUUCUGGGCCCUAUUCUGUUCCAUUGAUUUAUUUAUCUGUCCUUUUAUCAAUA